rnacentral:rRNA from 1 species
GACGAACGCUGGCGGCGUGCUUAACACAUGCAAGUCGAACGAAGAGCGAUGGAAGCUUGCUUCUAUCAAUCUUAGUGGCGAACGGGCGAGUAACGCGUAAUCAACCUGCCCUUCAGAGGGGGACAACAGUUGGAAACGACUGCUAAUACCGCAUACGAUCUAAUCUCGGCAUCGAGGAUAGAUGAAAGGUGGCCUCUACAUGUAAGCUAUCACUGAAGGAGGGGAUUGCGUCUGAUUAGCUAGUUGGAGGGGUAACGGCCCACCAAGGCGAUGAUCAGUAGCCGGUCUGAGAGGAUGAACGGCCACAUUGGGACUGAGACACGGCCCAGACUCCUACGGGAGGCAGCAGUGGGGAAUCUUCCGCAAUGGACGAAAGUCUGACGGAGCAACGCCGCGUGAGUGAUGACGGCCUUCGGGUUGUAAAGCUCUGUUAAUCGGGACGAAAGGCCUUCUUGCGAACAGUUAGAAGGAUUGACGGUACCGGAAUAGAAAGCCACGGCUAACUACGUG